rnacentral:lncRNA from 1 species
AAUCAAAAAAAGCGCGGCGAAAGCUAAAGGCCGGCGCACGCUGGGCGGUGGUGGUCCCUAAGCCGGGCCGCGGCCGGUGCAAUGGACUCCACUGCCUGCUUGAAGUCCUUGCUCCUGACUGUCAGUCAGUACAAAGCCGUGAAGUCAGAGGCGAACGCCACUCAGCUUUUGCGGCACUUGGAGCUCACCUAUUGUCUUUGGGAAGAAGCAGAAGGAAUAAUCCCAUAACUACCCUCUGGGCUUCAUUUUUCAUUCUCCUCCCUCAAAGUAAUUUCUGGACAGAAACUCACACGACUAUUUACAUCAAAUCAGAUAUUAACAAGUGAAUGCUUGAGUUGCCUUGUAGAGCUACUUGAAGACCCCAACAUAAGUGCUUCACUGAUCUUAAGUAUUAUCGGUUUGCUGUCUCAACUAGCAGUAGACAUUGAAACCAGAGAUUGUCUUCAGAAUACAUAUAAUCUGAAUAGUGUGCUGGCGGGAGUGGUUUGUCGGAGCAGCCACACUGAUUCGGUGUUUUUGCAGUGCAUUCAACUUCUACAGAAGUUAACAUAUAAUGUCAAAAUUUUCUAUUCUGGUGCCAAUAUAGAUGAAUUAAUUACGUUCCUGAUAGAUCACAUUCAAUCUUCUGAAGAUGAGUUAAAAAUGCCUUGUCUA